AGUUCGAUUCUGGCUCAGAUUGAACGCUGGCGGAUGCUUUACACAUGCAAGUCGAACGGCAGCACGGACUUCGGUCUGGUGGCGAGUGGCGAACGGGUGAGUAAUGUAUCGGAACGUGUGCCUAGUAGCGGGGGAUAACUACGCGAAAGCGUAGCUAAUACCGCAUACGCCCUUCGGGGGAAAGUGGGGGGACCUUCGGGCCUCGCAAUUAUUAGAGCGGCCGAUAUCGGAUUAGCUUGCUGGUGGGGCAACGCUCACCAAGGCGACGAUCCGUAGCUGGUUUGAGAGGACGACCAGCCACACUGACUGAGACACGGCCCAGACUCCUACGGAGGCGUGGCAGUGGGGAAUUUUGGACAAUGGGGGAAACCUGAUCCGUGCCAUCCUGCUGCGUGCGAUGAAGGCCUUCGGGUUGUAAAGCACUUUGGCAGGAAGAAACGGCACGGGAUAAUACCCCGUGCAACUGAUUUUACCUGUAAUAAGCACCUGCCAAUCAUUGCGCCAGCAGCCGCGGUAAUACGUAGGGUGCAAGCGUUAAUCGGAAUUACUGGGCGCAAGCGUGCGCAGGCGGUUCGGAAAGAAAGAUGAAAUCCCAGAGCUUAACUUUGGAACCGCAUUUUUAACUACCGAGCUAGAGUGUGUCAGAGGGAGGUGGAAUUCCGCGUGUAGCAGUGAAAUGCGUAGAUAUGCGGAGGAACAUGGCGCGAAGGCAGCCUGGGAUAACACUGACGCUCGAUAACGAAAAAGCGUGGGGAGCAAACAGGAUUAGAUGCACCUCUGGUAGUCCACGCCCUAAACGAUGUCAACUAGCUGUUGGGGCCUUCGGCCUUGGUAGCGCAGCUAACGCGUGAAGUUGACCGCCUGGGGAGUACGGUCGUGAAGAUUAAACUCGUUAGAAUUGACGGGGACCCGGAAAUACGGUGGAUGAUGUGGAUUAAUUCGAUGCAACGCGAAAACCUUACCUACCCUUGACAUGUCUGGAAUCCCGAAGAGAUUUGGGAGUGCCUGCAAGAGAACCGGAACACAGGUGCUGCAUGGCUGUCGUCAGCUCGUGUCGCAGAUGUUGGGUUAAGUCCUGCGCAACGAGCGCAACCCUUGUCAUUAGUUGCUACGAAAGGGCACUCUAAUGAGACUGCCGGUGACAAACCGGAGGAAGGUGGGGAUGACGUCAAGUCCUCAUGGCCCUUAUGGGUAGGGCUUCACACGUCAUACAAUGGUCGGGACAGUGGCCGCUAACCUGCGAGGGGGAGCCAAUCCAGAAACCCGAUCGUAAACUGGAUCGCAGUCUGCAACUCGACUGCGUGAAGUCGGAAUCGCUAGCAAUCGCGGAUCAGCAUCGCGGUGAAUACGUUCCGGUCUUGUACACACCGCCCGUCACACCAUGGGAGUGGGUUUUGGUAGGCGUAGUUAGCCUGGGAUCAAGUGGAGGGCGAUUAAUGAUUCAAGACUGGGGUGAAGUCGUAACAAGGUGUCCCAGCCACGCCUGAUGUC
rnacentral:rRNA from 1 species